AUGCUUUCACAACUUGACUUCAAAAUAUUUGGUUUGGAGACCAUCAAAGAUCAAUAUGUGCAUGAUGCUGAUUUUAAAGAUGUAUUGCAGAAUUGUAAAGAAGGAAGAACCUGGAACAAGUUUGUCGUUAAUGAUGGAUUUGUGUUCCGUGCUAACAAGCUAUGCAUUCCAGCUAGCUCUCUUCGUAUUUUGUUGUUGCAGGAGGCGCAUGGAGGAGGAUUAAUGGGACACUUUGGCGUGAAGAAGACGGAGGACGUACUUGCUACACAUUUCUUUUGGCCAAAGAUGAGACGGGAUGUUGAGCGGGCUGUUUUGAAGAAUAAUAAGAAAAUGUGGGAAGACUGCUUGCCUCAUAUUGAGUUUGCUUAUAAUCGUUCAUUGCAUUCUACUACUAAGAUGUGCCCUUUUGAAAUUGUGUAUGGUUUCCUACCUCGUGCACCUAUUGAUUUGUUGCCUCUUCCAUCUUCGGAGAAGGUUAAUUUUGAUGCUAAACAACGUGCUGAAUUGAUCUUAAAAAUGCAUGAGUUAACUAAGGAAAACAUUGAGCGUAUGAAUGCUAAAUAUAAACUUGCUGGAGAUAAGGGUAGAAAACAUGUUGUGUUUGCACCUGGAGAUCUUGUUUGGUUACAUUUGCGUAAGGAUAGAUUUCCUGAUUUGCGCAAAUCAAAGCUAAUGCCACGUGCUGAUGGUCCUUUUAAGGUGUUAGAGAAAAUAAAUGAUAAUGCAUAUAAACUUGAGCUGCCUGCAGAUUUUGGGAUUAGUCCCACUUUUAAUAUUGCAGAUUUGAAGCCUUAUUUGGGUGAGGAAGAUGAGCUUCCGUCGAGGACGACUUCAUUUCAAGAAGGGGAGGAUGAUGAGGACAUCAAUACAAUUAUUACACCCACAGUCCCUGCUGCUAUACAUACUGGACCAAUUACUAGAGCUCGCGCACGCCAAUUAAAUUACCAGGAAACAGACCCUCGUGGUCAGGUUGAUCGUGCUCCGGCGUGGUCGAUAACCUCUCGGAGUUGGUUUAGCGAUUGCUAA
rnacentral:rRNA from 1 species